GAUGAACGCUGGCGGCGUGCCUAAUACAUGCAAGUCGAACGAGGUGCUUUUGUAGCAAUACGAGAGUAUCCUAGUGGCGAACGGGUGAGUAACGCGUGGAUGACCUGCCCCAAAGUGUGGAAUAACAGUCCGAAAGGAUUGCUAAUACCUCAUGUGGUUAUCGGGUUUUAGAAAGCGAUAACUAAAGCAGCAAUGCGCUUUGGGAGGGAUCUGCGUCCCAUCAGCUAGUUGGUGAGGUAACGGCUCACCAAGGCGACGACGGGUAGGGGACCUGAGAGGGUGGCCCCCCANAAUGGAACUGAAACACGGUCCAUACACCUACGGGUGGCAGCAGUAGGGAAUAUUGCUCAAUGGGCGAAAGCCUGAAGCAGCAACGCCGCGUGUGCGAUGAAGGCCUUGGGUCGUAAGCACUUUCUAAGAGAUGAGAAAGGACAGUAUCUUAGGAAUAAGUCUCGGCUAACUACGUAGCCAGCAGCCGCGGUAAUGU
rnacentral:rRNA from 1 species